rnacentral:rRNA from 1 species
CACGUAGGGCGCAAGCGUUGUCCGGAAUUAUUGGGCGUAAAGAGCGUGUAGGCGGCCCGGUAAGUCCGCUGUGAAAGUCGGGGGCUCAACCCUCGAAUGCCGGUGGAUACUGUCGGGCUAGAGUGCGGAAGAGGCGAGUGGAAUUCCUGGUGUAGCGGUGAAAUGCGCAGAUAUCAGGAGGAACACCGAUUGCGAAGGCAGCUCGCUGGGACGUAACUGACGCUGAGACGCGAAAGCGUGGGGAGCAAACAGG